AGUGAAGCGGGGUGAGCUCAAAUUUAAAAUCUGGCCGGUUUACUGGUCCGAGUUGUAGUUUAAAGAAGCGUUUUCGGUGGCAACCUGGGUAUAAAUCCUUUGGAAUAGGGUAUCAUAGAGGGUGAGAAUCCCGUCUUUGACUCAGUGGAUGCUACUAUGUGAUACGUUUUCAAAGAGUCGAGUUGUUUGGGAAUGCAGCUCAAAAUGGGUGGUAAAUUUCAUCUAAAGCUAAAUAUUGGCGAGAGACCGAUAGCGAACAAGUACCGUGAGGGAAAGAUGAAAAGAACUUUGAAAAGAGAGUAAAAUAGUGCGUGAAAUUGUUGAAAGGGAAACGUUUGAAACCAGUGAUGCGGGUGGAAAAUCAGUCUUUUGAAGUGAGGAGUGGCACGAGUUUGGACCCCCCAAGGGCCAGCUUGUGUCUCAUCUUUGCUUGAAGGGAUGCACUUUUUCAUUUGCAGGUCAACAUCAGUUUUCUUUGCUGGAUAAAACUCUAAGAGAAUGUAGCAGCUUUGGCUGUGUUAUAGCUCUGGAGCGAUACAGUGAAGGGGACUGAGGUUUUUAAUUCGCAGCGUGUGCUCUCGGGCAAGGCUGACUGGGUGCUAUGAGAUAGCUCGGUGUACAAUGCUUGCAUUUUGCAUCGAGUCUGUUUGUACUCGCUCAACUCGGCUCUUCCACGCUUAGGAUGUUGACGUAAUGGUUUUAAACGA
rnacentral:rRNA from 1 species